rnacentral:rRNA from 1 species
AACGUAGGAGACGAACGCUAUCCGGAGUUACUGGGCGUAAAGGGCGUGCAGGCGGCUUGAUAAGUUCGGCGUGAAAUUUCCCGGCUUAACCGGGGGAUGUCGUCGGAGACUGUCGAGCUAGAGGGUGAUAGAGGCGUGUGGAAUUCCGGGUGUGGUGGUGAAAUGCGUAGAGAUCCGGAGGAACACCAGUGGCGAAGGCGACACGCUGGGUCAUACCUGACGCUAAAACGCGACAGCAUGGGGAGCGAACGGG